rnacentral:rRNA from 1 species
GACGAACGCUGGCGGCGUGCUUAACACAUGCAAGUCGAGCGGUAAGGCCCUUUCGGGGGUACACGAGCGGCGAACGGGUGAGUAACACGUGGGUGACCUGCCCUUAGCUCUGGGAUAAGCCUGGGAAACUGGGUCUAAUACCGGAUAUGACUCCAUGACGCAUGUUGUGGGGUGGAAAGCCUUGUGCGGCUAGGGAUGGGCCCGCGGCCUAUCAGCUUGUUGGUGGGGUGAUGGCCUACCAAGGCGACGACGGGUAGCCGGCCUGAGAGGGCGACCGGCCACACUGGGACUGAGACACGGCCCAGACUCCUACGGGAGGCAGCAGUGGGGAAUCUUGCGCAAUGAGCGAAAGCUUGACGCAGCGACGCCGCGUGAGGGAAGAAGGCCUCGG